UACGUAGGGUGCAAGCGUUAAUCGGAAUUAUUGGGCGUAAAGCGCGCGCAGGCGGUUUCUUAAGUCUGAUGUGAAAGCCCACGGCUCAACCGUGGAGGGUCAUUGGAAACUGGGAAACUUGAGUGCAGAAGAGGAAAGCGGAAUUCCACGUGUAGCGGUGAAAUGCGCAGAUAUCAGGAGGAACACCUAUGGCGAAGGCAGCUCGCUGGGACGGUACUGACGCUGAGGCGCGAAAGCGUGGGGAGCGAACAGG
rnacentral:rRNA from 1 species